AACGUAGGACACAAGCGUUAUCCGGAGUUAUUGGGCGUAAAGAGCGCGCAGGCGGUCGAUCAAGUCGCGUGUGAAAGCCCCCGGCUCAACUGGGGAGGGUCACGCGAUACUGAUCGACUCGAAGGCAGGAGAGGGUAGUGGAAUUCCCGGUGUAGCGGUGAAAUGCGCAGAUAUCGGGAGGAACACCAGCGGCGAAGGCGGCUUACUGGGCCAUUCCUGACGCUGGAGACGCGAAAGCUAGGGGAGCGAACAGG
rnacentral:rRNA from 1 species